CCCUUAGAUGUUCGGGGCCACACGCGCGCUACACUGAAGGAAUCAGCACGUCUUUCUCCUUGUCCGAAAGGACUGGGUAACCCGCUGAACCUCCUUCGUGCUAGGGAUUGGGGCUUGUAAUUCUUCCCCAUGAACGAGGAAUUCCCAGUAAGCGCGAGUCAUAAGCUCGCGUUGAUUACGUCCCUGCCCUUUGUACACACCGCCCGUCGCUACUACCGAUUGGAUGGUUUAGUGAGAUCCUCGGAUUGGUCCCGGCGCGGCCUCUGGUCGUGCCGGAGUGCCGAAAAGAAUGUCGAACUUGAUCAUCUAGAGGAAGUAAAAGUCGUAACA
rnacentral:rRNA from 1 species